UUAGCCCUGAAUCAAGGCCAGCAACUUGCUGUAGCUGUUGGUUUCAAACAGUGGCUGAAAUCAAAGUCUUCACAUGGUCUGUUGACUUUCCCAAACUAACCAAAUGGGAAAAAUCAAUUCAGUUUGAAGAGACAUUC